rnacentral:rRNA from 1 species
GGAGGAAAAGAAACCAACAGGGAUUGCCCUAGUAACGGCGAGUGAAGCGGCAACAGCUCAAAUUUGAAAUCUGGCGCAAGCCCGAGUUGUAAUUUGUAGAGGAUGCUUCUGGGCAGCGGCCGUUCUAAGUUCCUUGGAACAGGACGUCAUAGAGGGUGAGAAUCCCGUAUGUGACCGGCACGUACCCUCCACGUAGCUCCUUCGACGAGUCGAGUUGUUUGGGAAUGCAGCUCUAAAUGGGAGGUAAAUUCCUUCUAAAGCUAAAUACCGGCCAGAGACCGAUAGCGCACAAGUAGAGUGAUCGAAAGAUGAAAAGCACUUUGGAAAGAGAGUUAAAAAGCACGUGAAAUUGUUGAAAGGGAAGCGCUUACAACCAGACUUCGUGGCGGUGUUCCGCCGGUCUUCUGACCGGUCCACUCGCCGCCGCGAGGCCAGCAUCGUCUGGGGCCGCCGGAUAAGACCUUGGGAAUGUAGCUUGCCUCGGUAAGUGUUAUAGCCCAGGGUGAUGCGGCGUGCCUCGGGCGAGGUCCGCGCUUCGGCAAGGAUGCUGGCGUAAUGGUUGUCAGCGGCCCGUCUUGAAACACGGACCAAGGAGUCUAACAUCUAUGCGAGUGUUCGGGUGUCAAACCCCUACGCGUAAUGAAAGUGAACGGAGGUGGGAAGCGCAAGCUGCACCAUCGACCGAUCCUGAUGUCCUCGGAUGGAUUUGAGUAAGAGCAUAGCUGUUGGGACCCGAAAGAUGGUGAACUAUGCCUGAAUAGGGUGAAGCCAGAGGAAACUCUGGUGGAGGCUCGCAGCGGUUCUGACGUGCAAAUCGAUCGUCAAAUUUGGGUAUAGGGGCGAAAGACUAAUCGAA